UUUCUCUGGAUCCUGGGCAUGUUGCUGUCUGCAAGUAUAAUCUGGUAGUCUGAGCCUGAGAAGAAGUCAGGUGAUUCUCUGGGAUUUUGUCUUCUUUCAUCCUGAGAGUGGUGCCCAACUCUUCUGUACCUCUUAAUCCCUGGUGUUUGGACCCUGAGAUAUGAAAGGACUGAAGGAAAGUUUGCACUUCAUGAGUCAGUCAACCCAGAAGUUAGUCUAUUAAAUCAGCUAACAGAAGGAUUGCCACAGCUGAGAAACUGUCCCAAGUGCUUUACAUGCAUCUAUUCGUUUAAUUGUCACAACAAUCCAGUGAGGUAAGGACUCUUACAGGGAGGACAAUGAGACAGUGAAUGACCUGCCCAAGGCCACACAUCUGGCACAGCACCAGCCCCAGCUAAACUUCUCUGUAAGGAUGGCAUGUGUCUGCUCCUCUUCCCUUGGGAUCAGGGAAGAUAAGUGAAGAAACUGAGUGUCCUUGAUCUCGAGAUACUGUCAGACUAUCAUUGUAUACCUGAAAAAGGAAAUUUAAGAG
rnacentral:lncRNA from 1 species